rnacentral:rRNA from 1 species
AUGGAGAUGAAACCCAAAAGAUUCUCGUUGGGGCGUAACCCUCUCAGCGACGCGCCACAUCGGAACCCGGGUGUGGUGGAAAAUGGGCAAGGGCCGGGCCGUCACCCCCCAAGUGGCGCGCCGUAUCUUGAUCCGGAUACGGUGGCAAGUGAGCGAGGAUCGGGUCGUCACAUCCUUAGUGGCGUGCUACAUCGGCGCCCGGAUGUAGUGGAAAAUGAGCAAGGGUCUUCGCAUUUGACUCGACGAGUGCGAAGGGUAAGGAAGCUAGCCGAGCCUAGGAGGAUUCGCUUAGGUAGCUGGAACGUAGGGUCUCUGACAGGGAAGCUUCCGGAGCUAGUUGAUGCAGCAGUGAGGAGAGGUGUUGAUAUCCUUUGCGUCCAAGAAACCAAAUGGAGAGGACAGAAGGCGAAGGAGGUGGAGGAUACCGGCUUCAAGCUGUGGUACACGGGGACGGCUGCAAACAGAAAUGGCGUAGGCAUCUUGAUCAACAAGAGCCUCAAGUAUGGAGUGGUAGACGUCAGGAGACGUGGGGACCGGAUUAUCCUGGUCAAGCUGGUAGCUGAGGACUUGGUUCUCAAUGUUAUCAGCGCAUAUGCCCCGCAAGUAGGCCACAAUGAGAACACCAAGAGGGAGUUCUGGGAAGGCUUGGAAGACAUGGUUAGGAGUGUACCGAUUGGUGAGAAGCUCUUCAUAGGAGGAGACCUCAAUGGCCACGUGGGUACAUCUAACACAGGUUUUGUAGGGGCGCAUGGGGGCUUUGGCUAUGGCAUCAGGAAUCAAGAAGGAGAAGAUGUCUUAAGCUUUGCUCUAGCCUACAACAUGAUUGUAGCUAACACCCUCUUUAGAAAGAGAGAAUCACAUCUGGUGACUUUUAGUAGUGGCCAACACUCUAGCCAGAUUGAUUUCAUCCUCUCGAGAAGAGAAGAUAGGCGUGCGUGCCUAGACUGUAAGGUGAUACCUGGGGAGAGUGUUGUACCCCAGCAUAAGCUGGUGGUUGCUGACUUCCGCUUUCGGAUUCGUGUCCAGCGGGAUAAGCAUGCCAAGGUCGCUAGAACGAAGUGGUGGAAGCUCAAGGGGGAGGUAGCUCAGGUGUUCAAGGAGAGGGUAUUUAAGGAGGGCCCUUGGGAGGAAGGAGGGGAUGCGGACAAUGUGUGGAUGAAGAUGGCGACUUGCAUUCGUAAGGUGGCCUCGGAGGAGUUUGGAGUGUCCAGGGGAAGGAGAAGCGAAGAUAAGGAUACCUGGUGGUGGAAUGAUGAUGUCCAGAAGGCGCUUAAAGAGAAGAAAGAUUGCUUCAGACGCCUAUACCUGGAUAGGAGUGCAGACAACAUAGAGAAGUACAAGAUGGCGAAGAAGGCCGCAAAGCGAGCUGUUGGUGAGGCAAGGGGUCGGGCAUAUGAGGACCUCUACCAACGGUUAGGCACGAAGGAAGGUGAAAGGGACAUCUAUAAGAUGGCUAAGAUCCGGGAGAGGAAGACGAGGGAUAUUGGCCAAGUCAAAUGCAUCAAGGACGAAGCAGGCCAACUCUUGGUGAAGGACGAAGAGAUUAAGCAUAGAUGGCGGGAGUACUUCGACAAGCUGUUCAAUGGGGAGAAUGAGAGUUCUACCAUUGAACUGAAUGACUCCUUUGAUGAGACCAGCAUGCGUUUUGUGCGGCGCAUCCAGGAGUCUGAGGUGAAGGAGGCUUUAAAAAGGAUGAAAGGAGGCAAGGCGAUGGGCCCUGAUUGUAUCCCCAUUGAGGUGUGGAAAGGUCUCGGGGACAUAGCGAUAGUAUGGCUAACCAAGCUUUUCAACCUCAUUUUUCGGGCAAACAAGAUGCCAGAAGAAUGGAGACGGAGUAUAUUAGUACCAAUCUUCAAGAACAAGGGGGAUGUUCAGAGUUGUACUAAUUACCGUGGAAUUAAGCUGAUGAGCCAUACAAUGAAGCUAUGGGAGAGAGUCAUUGAGCACCGCUUAAGAAGAAUGACAAGCGUGACCAAAAAUCAGUUUGGUUUCAUGCCUGGGAGGUCGACCAUGGAAGCCAUUUUCUUGGUACGACAACUUAUGGAGAGAUAUAGGGAGCAUAAGAAGGACUUGCAUAUGGUGUUCAUUGAGUUGGAGAAGGCCUAUGAUAAGAUACCGCGGAAUGUCAUGUGGUGGGCCUUGGAGAAACACAAAGUCCCAGCAAAGUACAUUACCCUCAUCAAGGACAUGUACAAUAAUGUUGUGACAAGUGUUCGAACAAGUGAUGUCGACACCGAUGACUUCCCGAUUAAGAUAGGACUGCAUCAGGGGUCAGCUUUGAGCCCUUAUCUUUUUGCAUUGGUGAUGGAUGAGGUCACAAGGGGUAUACAAGGAGAUAUCCCAUGGUGUAUGCUCUUUGCGGAUGAUGUGGUGCUAGUUGACGAUAGUCGGACGGGGGUAAAUAGGAAGUUAGAGUUAUGGAGACAAACCUUGGAAUCGAAAGGGUUUAGGCUUAGUAGAACUAAAACCAAGUACAUGAUGUGCGGUUUCAGUACUACUAGCUGUGAGGAGGAGGAGGUUAGCCUUGAUGGCCAGGUGGUACCUCGGAAGGACACCUUUCGGUAUUUGGGGUCAAUGUUGCAGGAGGAUGGGGGUAUUGAUGAAGAUGUGAACCAUCGAAUCAAAGCCGGAUGGAUGAAGUGGCGCCAAGCUUCUGGCAUUCUCUGUGACAAGAGAGUGCCACAAAAGCUAAAAGGCAAGUUCUAUAGGACGGCGGUUCGACCCGCAAUGUUGUAUGGCGCGGAGUGUUGGCCGACUAAAAGGCGACAUGUUCAACAGUUAGGUGUGGCGGAGAUGCGUAUGUUGAGAUGGAUGUGUGGCCACACGAGGAAGGAUCGAGUCCGGAAUGAUGAUAUACGAGAUAGAGUUGGGGUAGCACCAAUUGAGGAGAAGCUUGUCCAACAUCGUUUGAGAUGGUUUGGGCAUAUUCAGCGCAGGCCUCCAGAAGCUCCAGUGCAUAGCGGACGGCUAAAGCAUGCGGAGAAUGUCAAGAGAGGGCGGGGUCGGCCGAUUUUGACAUGGGAGGAGUCCGUUAAGAGAGACCUGAAGGAUUGGAGUAUCGACAAAGAGCUAGCUAUGGACAGGGGUGCGUGGAAGCUUGCUAUCCAUGUGUCAGAGCCAUGA